AAAAGAAACAUAUUUUAAACACCUCAAAAUUUAACCAGCCUCCCCUGCACUUGCCUCACUAAGCAAGCACGCAGGAAAUGUCACGACAUCCAACUGCUCCGGAGGAGACUUCAGGUUUUUGCCCGCAGAUAUCUUGCAGUUGCUUUUCGCACUGCACUUUUGAAUAUGCAUAAAAAAUUGGUAUUAAAACGUCGCAUGUAAGACAUUAAUCAGCUGGCAAAGUGGCAGCAGCAGCAUCGGCUGCAGGAGCACCGAGACAGACAGGAGCUGCGGGGCCAAGUGAGAAACCCAAUGCGGUGGCUAGGUGAAGUCACUGAGCAGCAAGUUGAGCGCUUGCAUCAUGCGCUUGAUUAAUCUGCAUUCCCCCCGCAAGCCCCAAACCCCCGCCACAAAAUCUCAGAGUCCUCGGGAGAAAUCCGCGCAUAAGCAGCUUGACUCUUGCCAGAUUGGACGGAUGGUUGCCUGGACGGAGGGAGGGCGGGAGGUAGGUAGUGUAGUGUAGUGGUGGGCAACCAAACUUAACCCACUCCACGCAGCUCUUCUGGUUGUCGGGUUUUAUUUUCGAGUGCCCACACAGCACGAAAAGCGACCGCAACUCUUUGCCUGAACAAUAAAUUCACAUUAAGAAAAGCCAACAAAAAAAA